rnacentral:rRNA from 1 species
GACGAACGCUGGCGGUGUGCUUAACACAUGCAAGUCGAACGGAAAGGCCCUGCUUUUGUGGGGUGCUCGAGUGGCGAACGGGUGAGUAACACGUGAGUAACCUGCCCUUGACUUUGGGAUAACUUCAGGAAACUGGGGCUAAUACCGGAUAGGAGCUCCUGCUGCAUGGUGGGGGUUGGAAAGUUUCGGCGGUUGGGGAUGGACUCGCGGCUUAUCAGCUUGUUGGUGGGGUAGUGGCUUACCAAGGCUUUGACGGGUAGCCGGCCUGAGAGGGUGACCGGCCACAUUGGGACUGAGAUACGGCCCAGACUCCUACGGGAGGCAGCAGUGGGGAAUAUUGCACAAUGGGCGGAAGCCUGAUGCAGCAACGCCGCGUGCAGGAUGACGGCCUUCGGGUUGUAAACCGCUUUCGCCUGUGACGAAGCGUGAGUGACGGUAAUGGGUAAAGAAGCACCGGCUAACUACGUG